rnacentral:snoRNA from 1 species
GCUAGCCAUUCUCGUGUUUUAUUAACGUCUCCCGAGAAUAAAGACAGAAUUUUAAUGCUUGCGCUCUUCUUUGUUUGGUGUGCAAGUUUGGCUUUUCUGUUACAUUU